rnacentral:rRNA from 1 species
UACAGAGGGUGCGAGCGUUAAUCGGAAUUACUGGGCGUAAAGCGCGCGUAGGCGGCUUUGCAAGCCGGAUGUGAAAUCCCCGGGCUUAACCUGGGAACUGCAUUCGGGACUGCAUUGCUAGAGUAUGGGAGAGGGAAGUGGAAUUUCAGGUGUAGCGGUGAAAUGCGUAGAUAUCUGAAGGAACAUCAGUGGCGAAAGCGACUUCCUGGACCAAUACUGACGCUCAUGGUGCGAAAGCGUGGGGAGCAAACAGG